AUUCAUCUGACGUGUCCCAAAUAGAACGAAACGCGCAUCCUGAAU
rnacentral:hammerhead_ribozyme from 1 species